AUAACAACACAACAGUUCAGUCAUCUUCGUCAUACUGUGCAAUUAACUCACGAUUGGAUUGUCCGUGACUCAUGUCAUGUUGAAGUUCAAGUUUAUCAACACAAAAACCACCGUUCUAUAGUUCAUCACGAAUCAAGGGGAGGUGGCCUUGUAAGGUGGCCGGGUCCCUGUGUAAAGAGAACAAUCAAUUACGUAUUGAAAAGUGACCUGGAAAAACACAGAAGUCUUGGAAUUUGGAACCUGAAAAAUGCUUAA
rnacentral:lncRNA from 1 species